rnacentral:rRNA from 1 species
AUGUGGUUUUCAUCGAUUCGACCGGCAAUGACAGCAAAGCAGGUAGUAGGCACUAGCGAUGACACUCGCAGGAAGCCACUAGCGAGCGACAGAAAGGAGCAAGAGCUCGCACCCCAUGGCAGUUCUGCUGGAUCUGAUGGUGCUUCGCUCCUCACCGCUGCCUCGCUUCGCUGGUGCCCGCGGGCGUGCGCCGCGCCGGUGGAGCGAUGCCGCCGGCUGCUCCGUGGCUCCACGCCGUCAUGCUGGGUAAGCAUGGAGGAGAGGCUCGCCGGGGAAGGGAAGGGCCGGCUGCCGACCGCCACAGUUCCGUGGCUCCGCGGCAUCGUGCUGGGGAAGCGUGGGGGGACAAGCUCGCCGGGGAAGAGGGAGCGGCGCUGCCGACCGGGCCGCCGCCGCCGCGCGUGGGCCUGUGCAGGAGGAACAGAGUGA